rnacentral:tmRNA from 1 species
GGGGCCGUUCGUGGAUUUGCCGGGGCUUCGAAUCUAUUAUAUGCAUGUAGAGGUAGCGCUCUUAAAAACGCGAGGUUAUAAUAACCGGAAACCAAACACAAACUUACGCAUUCGCUUAAUAUAAAGCACUAGCGUGGCACCUUUAAGUAUACUUGUGACUUAAAGCUUGCCUCAGAAAACAAGUUAAGAUCUUAUAUAUGUCUAGGUAUAAGAUACGAAAACCAAAACUAGCCUCGUACUUGCUAAUUUUGUCAAUUUACUAAGCGGUAUUAAAUCAUUAGAUUGACUAAACAUGUAGAUUGUAAUAGAAGAAGAGUCUCGUACAUGGGUUCAACUCCCAUCGGUUCCACCA